rnacentral:rRNA from 1 species
GAUGAACGCUGGCGGCGUGCCUAAUACAUGCAAGUCGAGCGAACAGACGAGGAGCUUGCUCCUCUGACGUUAGCGGCGGACGGGUGAGUAACACGUGGAUAACCUACCUAUAAGACUGGGAUAACUUCGGGAAACCGGAGCUAAUACCGGAUAAUAUAUUGAACCGCAUGGUUCAAUAGUUAAAGACGGUUUUGCUGUCACUUAUAGAUGGAUCCGCGCCGCAUUAGCUAGUUGGUAAGGUAACGGCUUACCAAGGCAACGAUGCGUAGCCGACCUGAGAGGGUGAUCGGCCACACUGGAACUGAGACACGGUCCAGACUCCUACGGGAGGCAGCAGUAGGGAAUCUUCCGCAAUGGGCGAAAGCCUGACGGGGCAACGCCGCGUGAGUGAUGAAGGUCUUCGGAUCGUAAAACUCUGUUAUUAGGGAAGAACAAAUGUGUAAGUAACUAUGCACGUCUUGACGGUACCUAAUCAGAAAGCCACGGCUAACUACGUG